GAACGCGAUGCGAUUGGCUGUCGGCUCAACCAAUGGUGUGGCGGGACGCGGGACCGGUCCCCGGUUCCUGGUCCCAAGGCCUGGUCCAGGCGUCAUGGAGCCCUCUCUGUACACCGUAAAAGCCAUCAUAAUCCUGGACAAUGAUGGGGAACGACUCUAUGCGAAGUACUAUGAUGACACAUACCCAUCGGUGAAGGAGCAGAAGACAUUUGAGAAAAACAUUUUCAACAAAACACACCGCACUGACAGCGAGAUUGCGCUGCUCGAAGGCCUAACCGUCGUCUACAAGAGCAGCGUCGACCUCUACUUCUACGUCAUCGGGAGCCCCCAGGAGAACGAGCUGAUGCUCAUGACUGUCCUCAGUUGCUUGGUGGAGUCUCUGGGACAGAUGUUCAGGAAAAAUGUCGAGAAGCGAGCCCUGAUGGAAAACAUGGAUGCUGUUUUCUUGGCGGUGGAUGAAAUCGUUGAUGGCGGAGUGGUUCUGGAGAGUGACCCCCUUCAGGUCAUGCAGAGGGUGUCUCUCAGGCUGGAUGUCUCUGAAGGGCCGUAUGGCUUUGUUCUCUUAGAUCUGCUGGCCAGCAAGAUCAAUACUGAGCCAUCGAGCUGACGCGUACUGUGUCUCCGAGCCCAUCCCCUUGUCCCCGCGUGCUGCAGUCGGAUGACAUCCCACUGACGGAACAGACGGUCGCACAGGUUCUCUAUUCAGCCAAAGAACAGCUCAAGUGGUCCCUUCUCAAGUGAUGAUGGCCCAAGCAGAAGACGCGAAUCUCCCUAAGCUCCCUGCACUCAUCUGGCACCUCCCUCCAUCUUCUGUACACUCACUCACUCUCACUUACUCAUUCUGUGACCGGCAGUGUGAGUUCCCAGACACAAACUCGCAAAAAACAAAACUAUAAUAUCUGGACUCAUUUCCCACGCGCAGGAAAGCUUGCAUCGUGGAGCUGAGUGGCGGGGAGGAAACGUGGAGCUGACACACCAUUAAAGUCAGCGCGAGAAUUUAGAGCUCAUGCAUAAAAAUCAAAGAAAUUAUUUUAUCACAAAUUCUUUUUUUUAAUCUCACUUGUGUUUUUACUGGAAUCAAGUCACCAGGUUAGGCGGUGUCCUUUUUCUGCAGCCUGAAGAUUACCAUUUCUCAUUGCGGAGUACCAUCGCAUGUUAUCAAGGCAGGGUACGGCACUGGAAUGACUCACUGAACUACUUGUUAUCACUAAAAUGAGCCACUCACCCACAAAGAAAUGGUGCUCAUUCAUGCCAUCCAAAGUAGUCUACCACGUGGAAUUCAAUAUAUUUUGUUAGUAUUCAACUUAGUUAAGCCAAAUGAAACAAUGUUUUUUUUCCUGAAAAUAUUUUUUUCCCCCUCCCAAUUCUGAUUCUGCUGUCGAUGUGAAAAGAAGAAUCCAUUUGGAAUGCUGGAUUUGCAGUGUGGUCAUCUCGUGAUGGAGAACGGUCCACAGAAGGAGAUAUCAUAGGGCUACUUCUAAAAUCUCGUAAAGUGGCCUAUUUUCCACACUCGGGGGCAACACUUGCCUACCACUCUGCUUUACAGCGGAAUGCUCUGUGUGGCAAACUGAUAUUUGCAAUUUUCAGAACUGGAAUUUAGCCAGAUUAAGUAAGACACCAAAGUGUAACACUUUUCGGGCAGUAAUUUGUGAUUGGACUGAGAUCAUGAACUCUUUACUUGAGAACCUGGUUUUUCCAUGGACAGCUGUUCUGAUUCAAACUCCCGAAUCUCAGCUGUGAUGCCUCAACGCUCUAACUUCUGAGCUACCCGGUCACAUUGAAAAAUAAAAUGUAAUCGGAGUUUUUUUCUGCGCAACCUUUGAUUAUCAGGCUAAUACUGUUUGCACCUUACACUUGAGAAUCUCGGUUCAUCACAGGUGGCAGAAACCUGGGUUUGACCCCAUAAAAUCGAUGGUACUGGCUCAGUGACUUGAUAGCCAUUGAGAUUUUUGAACCAGCGUUUCAGAUGGAAGAACCGAGGGUAUGGCGCUAUCCAGAUCACAUGACAGUACACGCUGUCUCCUCUCAACGGACACCCCCUGCCGCAACAGCCAUGUGCGUCUCUCUGUACAUGGUUUAUUUUCCAGCACGUGUUGAUAUUUUCACAUUUUUAGAGUGCCCGAGUGUGAAACUACCCUAUGUGGUGGACCUCGAUGGUUUCUUGGCAAAUGUAAAAUAACGCGGUGCGUGCGAUGUCAAAAUGUAGUAUCGAUGGUGGUGAUAUCGAUGACGGUUGCCGGAGUGGCUUUCUCCAGUGUUGUGAAAAUAAAACAAACAUUGAUAUGUUGUUGUUUUUUGGAGAAUUUA